UACAGAGGGUGCAAGCGUUAAUCGGAAUUACUGGGCGUAAAGCGUGCGUAGACGGUUGCGUAAGUCAGAUGUGAAAGCCCCGGGCUCAACCUGGGAAUUGCAUUUGAGACUGCGUAGCUAGGGUGCGGAAGAGGGAAGCGGAAUUUCCGGUGUAGCGGUGAAAUGCGUAGAUAUCGGGAGGAACACCAGAGGCGAAAGCGGUUAACUGGGUCUAAACUGACGCUGAGGCGCGAAGGCUAGGGGAGCAAACAGG
rnacentral:rRNA from 1 species